UGAAUACGAGACGCUACGGCGUCGAAGCAGUCUAUGUCAUACUUCCAAGAAAAGCUUGCACUGUCAUAAACAAAUAAUGCCUGUACCAUAACCGACACAGGUGGGUAGGUAGAGUAUACUAAGGGGCGCGAGAUAACUCUCUCUAAGGAACUCGGCAAAAUGACUCCGUAACUUCGGGAGAAGGAGUGCCUUAUUUAUAAGGUUGCAAUAACAAGAUCCAAGCAACUGUUUAUCAAAAACACAGGUCUCCGCUAAGUCGUAAGACGAUGUAUGGGGGCUGACGCCUGCCCAGUGCCAGAAGGUUAAAGAAGUUGGUUAGCAUUAGCGAAGCUGAUAACUGAAGCCCUGGUGAACGGCGGCCGUAACAAUAACGGUCCUAAGGUAGCGAAAUUCCUUGUCGGGUAAGUUCCGACCCGCACGAAAGGCGUAAUGAUUUGGAUACUGUCUCAGAGAGGGGCUCGGUGAAAUAGACUUGUCUGUGAAGAUGCGGACUACCUGCACCAGGACAGAAAGACCCUAUGAAGCUUUACUGUAACUUGAAAUUGAAAUUGGACUUUAUUUGCGCAGUAUAGGUGGGAGGCAUUGAUAAUAUUCUUGCGGGAAUGUUGGAGCCAUCAGUGAGAUACCACUCUUGUAAUGUUAGAUUUCUAACUUUGGAUCAUUAUCUGGUCAAAGGACAGUUUCAGGCGGGCAGUUUGACUGGGGCGGUCGCCUCCUAAAUGGUAACGGAGGCGCACAAAGGUUUCCUCUGAACGGGUAGAAAUCGUAUCUAGAGUGUAAAGGCAUAAGGAAGCUUGACUGUGAGACCUACAAGUCGAGCAGGGACGAAAGUCGGUCUUAGUGAUCUGACGGUGCUGAGUGGAAAGGCCGUCACUCAACGGAUAAAAGUUACUCUAAGGAUAACAGGCUGAUCUCCCCCAAGAGUUCACAUCGACGGGGAGGUUUGGCACCUCGAUGUCGGCUCAUCGCAUCCUGGGGCGGUAGUACGUCCCAAGGGUUGGGCUGUUCGCCCAUGAAAGCGGUACGCGAGCUGGGUUCAGAACGUCGUGAGACAGUUCGGUCCAUAUCCGGUGUAGGCGUUAGAGUAUUGAGAGGAGCCUUCUUUAGUACGAGAGGACCGAGAAGGACAUACCUCUGGUGUACCAGUUAUCGUGCCAACGGUAAACGCUGGGUAGCUAUGUAUGGAGAGGAUAACCGCUGAAAGCAUCUAAGUGGGAAGCCCACCUCAAGAUAAG
rnacentral:rRNA from 1 species